AUCCCUCUAACGCAAUGGAUAGCGCGUUGGAUUUCUAAUACAAAUGUCGUGGGUUCGAUUUCCACCUGGGAUG